rnacentral:rRNA from 1 species
GACGACGCUGGCGGCGUGCCUAACACAUGCAAGUCGAGCGGAGUCGAUCGACGGAAGCCUUCGGGCGGAAGAUGGUUGACUUAGCGGCGGAUGGGUGAGUAAUGCGUGGGCAACCUGCCUCGAAGACCGGGAUAACAGCCCGAAAGGGCUGCUAAUACCGGAUGUGGUCAAGGAUCCGCAUGGAUUUUUGAUUAAAGGGGAAACCCGUUUCGAGAUGGGCCCGCGUCCUAUCAGCUAGUUGGUGAGGUAAAAGCUCACCAAGGCGACGACGGGUAGCCGGCCUGAGAGGGUGACCGGCCACACUGGAACUGAGACACGGUCCAGACUCCUACGGGGGGCAGCAGUGGGGAAUCUUCCACAAUGGGCGAAAGCCUGAUGGAGCGACGCCGCGUGAGCGAAGAAGGCCUUCGGGUUGUAAAGCUCUGUCUGGAGGGACGAAGGAAGUGACGGUACCUCCGGAGGAAGCCACGGCUAACUACGUG